UACGGGGGGAGCAAGCGUUGUUCGGAUUUACUGGGCGUAAAGAGCGCGCAGGCGGUCGAUCAAGUCGAGUGUGAAAGCCCCCGGCUCAACUGGGGAGGGUCAUUCGAUACUGAUCGACUCGAAGGCAGGAGAGGGUAGUGGAAUUCCCGGUGUAGUGGUGAAAUGCGUAGAUAUCGGGAGGAACACCAGUGGCGAAGGCGACUACCUGGCCUGUUCUUGACGCUGAGGCGCGAAAGCUAGGGGAGCAAACGGGG
rnacentral:rRNA from 1 species